CCUGCAAUCUGGAUUGCUGGAAGUCGAGUCGAGGUCUGUAGAGGAAGGUGGAAAAUGGAGUUUUGCUGGAUCCUGUUGACAGGUAAAGUGAUGCAUCAAGCAUUUGCCUCCCUAUUCAGGCAUAUCUCGUAUUCUCAGGGAGAUGCAACCAGGUUCCCUUUUCUUGAAGCGAUGGGGGGAUAGUGAGACCCUAACCGAUCCAUGCGAUACAGUCGACACCAGCGCCGUCGGUGGAACCGCAGCAGAGCCUUCAUCAGUAGGACUAUUGCAGAUGAUUGGAAUGAUCCGCGAACAGCCGGCGAGAUUGGAAGGGGGCUCUGACUGUUGUCGCGGGAACGGCAGAACCCAGUGUCAAAAUUCCCUGUUGGACGAAGAGGUUAGUACUUGUUAGUGUGUGAACAAAUUCCCUGCACUGUUGUUUAGCACUGAGCUUGAUUACGGUACUAUCUGUAUCUAGUUACAUUGAAUUUGUAAAUGUAGACGCGUCAUAUUGGACCAGAUUUCACUGCUGAACAUCUGUUUUUGUCAGCUGCAGAAUUAGAGUUGGGGUUGGUUCCGCCAGACAGGGCCCCUUGUCCGAGCAGAGCAGGCACCCUGGAGAAAUCAACAGGGGGAUUCGCAGAGAAGAGAGAACCCGAAAGAAAAUGUCAUCAGACCUGCUCUUGGGAGAAUUAUUUUGGAAUCAGAUACGGGAAAAGGAGGCUGAAUGUCACAGAUGACAAAAUGCAUGCAGAAAGUAGUGUGUGUUUGCGGUGAGGAUGUCAACAAGUAUAUGCAACAAAACUGAUCUAGGGGGUAGUUCUCUGAUGGUGCAUUUUGGUACGUUGGUUUUUUCAGGGGAAGCUGGGUGACCAGAACACACGCUCAUGCUGGACAUACUGUGAUUUCGUUUUCCAGUGAUUUCGUGGACAAGUUAGAAAGAUAAGGAUAUGCGUCCAUGCUGAACAUAUUUUUAGAACUUUUUGCCUGAUGGUUGGUAGUUGGCUGACUUAAAUAUAUGUUCUGUGAACAAGGAUGCUUUUGCAGAUUCAAAUUCAUGUAUGCCAGAACUAACGAUUGAACGGGCUGUGCAGGUUUGGACCUUACAUGUGUCAUCUGCGAUUCAAAAUUUAAAAUUUGAAUGCAUGUAUGACCCUAUUUGAAUUCCUGGGAGAGAAACCUGGGUAGGAUAUGAGCUUCGGUGAAGUGUGGCAGACAUAGUUAGCAAGCUAGCAUGAAUCAAAGGGAAAUGGACUGUUGUGUUUUCUUACUUUUGGAGAUGUACUGGCUUUGCAGCCAAGCACCUCUUCACAGUAAUACGAGUAGACCAUGCUCGAUUUGCAUGAACAAUGGCCUGCCAGAGAUAUGAGAUGUAAUUUAUUUAUUUUUGAAACAAGGCAAAAGAUUUGCCAUUUCAUUGAUUAAGAAGAAGGUUUAGACAGGCCACGAAG
rnacentral:lncRNA from 1 species